GCUCUGGGUGCCGCGAGUGGCGGGGUCCGAGUUAAGUCGUCUUUGUCUGGAGAAGAGGAGCAAAGGGGAGCGCUGAGAUUCUAUAAUCGACUGUACCAAGAGCAGUCACAGAACCCUUGAAUAUCCUGAAUUGGAAGGGACUCACAUUGAUCAUCCAGUCCAUCUCCCAGCCCUGCACAGGACACCACAACAAUCACACCUUGUGCGUGAGAGCGUUCUCCAAAUGUUUCUUGAUCUCUACCACAGCUAUUUUAGCCUGUAAAUCUCGUUGGACAGGUGACAGAGGGAAAGAUAAUAAAUAAUAAUAAAUAAAUA